rnacentral:sRNA from 1 species
AGCAACACGAUGGGUCGAUACCCCGCGU